CCCGGUAAUGCUCGCAGAUUACGACCCUCCCCCUCAAGAGUCCCAAGGGGGCUUCCUGCUUCACUCAACUUCCAUGCCUUACCAAGCAGGUUAGCAAAAAAUCAAAAUCGAGAUGAUACAUAGAAGGAGGACGGACGCUCACAGCAGUAGGUAUGGGCCAUGGCACUGUGAUAACUGGGACUGGGCAAUGCCAUCGGUGGAUAGGAAGGGUCACCCAAAAUCAAAGCACUUACGCAAGACCACAGGAGAGACACAAACAAGACAUUGUGGACUUUUUCAGGGAUGCAGACUAGAGAUCCAGAAAUGAGCCGGGCUUACCUCUGGGACAAAAACAGGGAGCUGGGGACAAAUGUGGAAGAAAAAGUGCCAUCAGAGACUGAAAGGGACUCUCCUGAGGGGCACCAACCACCCUGAUGGUGCGCCACACCCUCAGCAGGUUGAUCAGUUGUUCUGGGAUCUGAAGCAGAUGCCAGUCUGCACAGUAACUUCGUGGCAGAUGAGGUCCCUACUAUAACUGGCACGAUGCCCACGUAUGGUAAGCCGCACAGGGCAUUAACCUUGCUCUUUUAUGUGUCCUCAGCAAGUCCGGGGGCGAAUGACGUGACAGGUCAGUAGGAGGCUAAUGGCAUGAAGUGAGCUAAGGCUGCAGCAGAGGGCGGCCAAGUCUGAAGUGCUCUGCCCAGCGGCGGGCAGAUCUUCUUACUGAAGAAUCCCACAUGUCCAGCAUAAAGGGUUAUUUUGGGAGCAGGAGGUAUCACUCUUACACUCCCUGUCUCACCAGAAUUGACCUCCUUCCACAUUUCUCCAGUUACAAGGGGCCCGGCGCUGCUCCCAGUUAGCCGAGGAGUUUGCAGGGGAGCUGAUUUGCAUUAGCCAGCCUGAUACGACUGGGCGCUGCUGGCAUGGAGGAAACAAAGGACUUCAUUUGCAUGUAAGAUGACGGGCAAGGACAAGACGAUAUGCAAAUGACCCCGGGGAGCGCUAUAUAGCGCCUCUUGGCAAGUGGCGUACCCCUUCACUUUCACAGCUCACCUUAUCCUGUCUCAGAAGAGUCACAGCUGCUGUGCCUUGUCACUAACAUGACACUAACAGCUGGGAAUGGUCAGAUAUCUCAGUGGGUCAGGUCACUAGAGGGAUGUAUCAGCCAAUCAGCACUGGGUGGCUUCAUUUUUUCUCCCAGAUGACACAGUGAGUCAUGGAUUGCACCGCAAGGUGGAUUCCCAGAAGGGCACAAGCGCAUUGGACUUAAACUGGGACCAUUCAAUGGCGCCAACUUCUGGGGCCAGCACUGCAGCCAAUUUGGGCAUCCUGUGGGAACGAGGCCAGGCUUCUUUGUUCCAAGCAUACUGAUCACAAAUAAACAGGAGCACGGGCAGAAGGAAGGGUAGGAGUACUGGUAAGUGGGCAGAAGAAUGGACAGAAGUGGGGUAGAAGGAGUGAGUGGUCAAGGAGAGACAACAAAAUACCAGAAGGACGGACUACUUGAGUGGACAAACAUCUGUGAAGGCAGAGGGCGGGAAGAAGGCUGUGGGCAGUGGGCCGGCACUAUGAACCAGCGUGUGGACAGAAGCGACAGAAGGGAUCAUGAGUGGACAGGGGAGGAAUAGCGAGUGGUCAGGGCAGCCGACUGAAAUCUCCACCAGUGAUGUCACUUCCUGUUCCAGAUCUCCUGGGCCCGCCCCUUCCUGUCACCAGGAUUGCUGGAGGAAGAGUGAAACUGCAUAACCUAGAGAUCUAAGAGAAGAUGACGCUGAUGAAGAACAGUUACAGGAGGAAGUGUGUGUGUGUGAACAUAAUGAAUAAAACAGCCAGGCACUGGACUAUAAUAAAAACAUAUUGUGAAGAUAGUGAGAUCAAAACAACAAUGGGGCACCUGCAGGACCCCGAGCUCUCGCCGGAUCACACAAAUGGUUACAGCGUCAGACAACGAGUUCUCGAAGGCUCUGAGAUCCAGCAGGAUAAAACAACAAGGGAUGCAUCUGCGGGAUAUUGAGACCUGACAGGGUGAAAAAAAGGGAUGGAUAUCCAGAAUUCUGAGGUGUAGAAGAAUCAAAAAACGCCGCUUACCACUGAGACAUCACAAGCUCACCCAAGUGUUAAUGUGUCAGGCAAUGAGAUCUGGAAAAGUCGGAGAUCCAGCAGGAUUAAACAACAAGGGAUGCAUGUGUAGGAGAUUGAGCUCUAAUGGAACGAUUAAAAAGGUUCUGAAGCCUAGCAGGAUCAAACAAAGGUUACACUGUCAAAGGUAAUGAGAUGGAGAAGGGGUCGGUGAUCUAUCAAAGGAUGUGUAUGCCGGAUAUUGAGACCUAACAAAAUGAAACAAGAUGUGAAUAGAUAAGAGAGUGAGGUGUAGCAGGAUCAGUCAACACUCCCGAUCACCAAGAUCUCACAGACUCACACAAGGGUUACAGUGUCAGGCAAUAAGGUCUGGGAAAGUCAGAGAUCCAGCAGGAUAUAACAACAAGGAAUAUCUCUGCAGGAUAUUGAGAUCUAAUGGGACAAGAAAAAGAGGUUGAAUAUGCAAAAUUACAAGGUGUGGUUGGAUCAGACGAUACCGCAGGACGCUGAGGUCCACAGACUUCUACAAGUAUUACAAUGUCAGACAAUGAGAUCUAGAAGGUUCUGUAUCUGUGGGAUAUCGAGGUCUAACAGUAUGAAAAAAAGGGAUGAAGAUGCACAAUUCUGAGGUCAGGCAGGAUCAAGCAAAGGUUACACUGACAAAGAUAAUGGGAUCUAGAAGGGCUGCAGAUCUAACAGGGGCUCUGAGAUCUAGUAAAGAUCUCACACAAGGAUAAAGGGUGAAACAAGGGGAACAGCUACAAAGAUCUGAGGUCUAGUGGGAUAAGACAGCAAGAUGUAUGGCUGCAAUAUGACGGAAAGGAUAAGAACACAUGAUCUGGAGGUCUAGCAGGGUCAGACAUCACUACAGGACACUGAGAUCUAGCAGGAACACACAAGGGUUGCCAUAUCAAAGAUAGUCAGAUUUAGAGGGAUGGAAAAAGAGCUACGUAUACAUGGGACUAAGAUCUUGUAGGAUCACACAAGGGUUACAGUGGCAACGAUGAUGAGAUCUAGAGGGGUUUGAGAUCCAACAGGAUCAAACAACAAGGGAUACAGCUGCUGGAUACCUGUAUUAAGAAUUAAAAAGGGAUGAAUAUACACAAUACUCAGACGUAACAGGAUCAAACAAAGUUUACGUUGUCCAAGGUAAAGAGGUCUAGAAGUGUCCAAAAUCUGUCAGGAUGAACAUUUAAGGAACGUACAGUUCAUGCACGAAAUUGAUAUGAAACAGAAUAAAAAGGGAUGAAAAUGUAAAAUUCUGGGAUCUAGCAGGAUCAAACAAUGUUCCAGGACACUGAGAUCGAGAAGGUACACAUGUUACAAUGUCAAAGACCAUGAGAUCUAGAAGGGGAAAGAACUACAGGGAUCAGAGAUCCUUAAGUGAUAACUCAACCAGGGCUUGUAAGAAAACAGACAGAUCACACUAAAGAGUUGCCCCUGUAUAACUGAAAAAUACACAGUAAUUGUGGUGACAUCUUCAUAGACGCAAGUUCCUAGUUAAAUUGUCUCAAGAUGGCGGAUCUUCUUUUAGAAAGAGGUGGACUCAGGUGGAUGGACACCGGAAGUGACAUCAGUGGCAUUAUAGACAUCUAAGAGGAUGCAAAAGGGAUACUUAUACAUGAUACCGAGCUGUAACAGGAUCAAACUACACAACAGGAUGCUGAGAUCUAGGGGGCUCACACAAGAUUUACAUAUGAAAGAUACUGAUAUCUAAAAAGAUGAAACAUGGUGUAAAUAUGCAAGAUACUGAGGUCCACCAGGAUCACACAUGGCUUACAAUAUCAAAGAUAAUGAGAUCUAGAGGGGUACAACAGCAAGAGAUACACUUGCAGAACAUUGAGGACAUUGAGAAAGGGAAGAACAUACAGUACAAGACUGCGAGGCCUACCAGGAUCAAACAACCUUACAGAACACAGAGCUCUAGUGGGCAACCACAAGGCAUACGAGAUCAAUGACAAGGAGAUGUAGAAAGAUGAAAGAAGGGAAACAUCUACAAGGAUCUGAGAUCUAGUAGGAUAAAGACGCAAGAGCUACAUCAGAAGGAUAUUACGAUCUCACAAGAUGAAAAAAGGGCAUACAUACUAUAUAUAAGAUACUGAGAUCUCACAGGAUCACACAUAGGGUACAAUAUCAAAAAUAAUGAGAUCUAGAUGGGUCUGAAAUCAGCAGGACACUGAGAUCGAACAGGAUAAAAAGGGUUGAAUCCACAAGAUCCUGAGGUUGCAGCAGGGCCAAACAACAUUACAGGACCCUGAGAUCUUGUAGUCUCAUGCAAGAGUUGCCUAUAAAAGACAGCGAGAUCUAAAAGGAUGACAAAUGGGAUAAAAUGUAUGAGAUACUGAGGUCUAGUAGGAUAAUCGAACACUACAGGACACAGAGACCUAAGAAGCUCACAUAAAGGUGAUAAUGUCAACAAUAAUGAAAUCCAGCAGGAUGCGACAAGGAGGAGGUCUACAAGGAUCUGAGAUCCAGCAGGUUUAAACAACAUAGAGUCCAUCGGCAGAAUGAUACUGUCUAGCAUUCUAACAUAUUGAGGUCUCAUAGGAUCACAGAAUGGUUGUAAUAUCAAACAUCAUGAGAUCUGGAAGGAUGAAAAAUGGGAGAAAUGUUUGCAAUACUGAGGUCUAGCAGGACAGUCCAACACUACGGGAGACUGAGACCGAAGAAGCCCACAUAUAGGUGAUAAUGUCGAUAAUAAUGAAAUCCAGAAGGAUGAGACAAGGGGGAGGUCUACGAGGAUCUGAGAUCCAGCAGGUUUAAACAAUGCUGGGUCCAUCUGCAGAAUGUUAAUAUCUAACAUUGCAACAUAUUGAGGUCUUGCAGGAUCACAGAGUGGUUACAACAUCAAACAUAAUGAGAUCUGGAAGAGAUUGAAGGAAGGGAAACAUCUACAAGGACCUGAUAGCUACCAGAAUAAAACAAUUAAAGACUUUCUCUGUAGGAUGAUUAAAGGGAUACAUGUAAAAGAUCUAGCAGGAUCAGACAGCAAGAAAUAUACCUGCAAGAUGCUAAAUUCAAACACAAGUGUUCAUCUAUGAAAGAUACUGAGGUCCAAAAAACAUGAAUUAAGGAAUAAAUACACAGAGUUCUGAGAUCUAGCAGGAUCAAACCACAAAGAUGUACCUCUACAGGAUACUAAGAUCUUACAUGGUGUCACACAUGUGCGUUUGGGAGACAGUUUACAGGCUCAAGGAGUUACAGUUACCCACUGAAGCCAGGGGUUGGCACUGCCCUCUAACUCUUCUUUCCUCUCCCCUGGAGGAACAACUGAAGAAUCCACCCAAUAACAUCACUUCCGGUUGCCAUCUUCAAGAUCCCGCUUCUUCAUACCAUCACUUCCUGCAAGUCCGCCUAUAUGUACCACCCUCGUUUUCGGUUGUAUUAGUUCCGUUUUGAACUCAGUCUGUAAAGACGUUAUUUCCUUUGCUUUCUGUGCGACAGUAUAUGGGGGGAAUCCCCCCCCAAACCUUUGACUGUCUUAUUGUGCUUA